rnacentral:lncRNA from 1 species
GUGGCGUAGUCGCAUACAUCUCGGGGCAUUCUUGAGCACCAGAUAUCGUCCCCGAAUAUGGGUGUGGUUUCUGGUUUUCUGUCUAUUUUUUUCUGUGUAGUUUAGUGUUUUGUCUUUUCUUGCCUUUAAUUUUAGUCACGAUGUAUUGUCUGUUUUUCUUUUUAUUUCUGAUUGUCCCUUUUGCAGUUCUGCAUUUUUUUUUUUUAUCAUUAAUUAUAAAUAAUCGGAAAAAUCACUGGCAAAAAUUAGGCAGGAAGUACAGGCCCUGUUGGGACCUCCUGAAUGUACGCCUGUUUUUUGUGAGUAUCAUAUUUCGUAUUUGUCUUUUUGGUCUCUUAUUUGUUGGACAUAAUGAUGUCUUCCUCUUAUGGUUAUUUUGUUGCUCUCUGGUGCUAUCUUUUUCGAACCAUGUAUAUAUCGUGUAUCUUAUUUGCCCACUUUUUUUUCUUUUUUUUUUGUCACAGAUCUAAAACUUCAAACAUAAACUUUCAUAAGACAUAUGUAUCUAAUUUUUUUUCUUUUGUUCUCGUCGUAUGUAGUGGUUAUUUGUCAUAUUUGCCGUUAUCGCGCCGCUUUUUUCCCCUUUUUUUCAAGUACCUUCAAAACAUUCCUCAGUAAUAUGCUCUUUUAUAAUAUUAAAAUUCUCCCUCAUAAAUUCGACCGAAUUUUAAAACAUUUCUAAUCCAUGUACAUGACUUAAAAAGAGGCAGAAACUUAGAAGAUACUAUAUAUAUGUGCAUAUAUAACUGAGUCAAAUGUCUCUCAUAUCAUCCUCGAGUAUAAUAUAGAAUAAUUGCAGAUUUUGAUAGUCUUGUCCGCAAUGUGCGUUAAAUAUACUGCACAAUGCUUUUUAGUGUCGGGUUUAAAAAAAAAAAAACAUUGUUAUUUGAACUUGAUUUGUUUUUAGUAAUUUACUUCCAUCUCUCAAUUGCAUUAAAUUAUUGAGAUUGGUAUCAUGAUUUUUAUGCCAGUUUACGAAUAUAAUGUCUACUGAUCACGUUAUAUAACAAGAGACAUGAUAUAAUACAAUUCAACAUAUGUUAUAGGAUUAACACGACAGGUGUCC